rnacentral:rRNA from 1 species
GAUGAACGCUGGCGGCGUGCCUAAUACAUGCAAGUCGAGCGAACAGACGAGGAGCUUGCUCCUCUGACGUUAGCGGCGGACGGGUGAGUAACACGUGGAUAACCUACCUAUAAGACUGGGAUAACUUCGGGAAACCGGAGCUAAUACCGGAUAAUAUAUUGAACCGCAUGGUUCAAUAGUGAAAGACGGUUUUGCUGUCACUUAUAGAUGGAUCCGCGCCGCAUUAGCUAGUUGGUAAGGUAACGGCUUACCAAGGCAACGAUGCGUAGCCGACCUGAGAGGGUGAUCGGCCACACUGGAACUGAGACACGGUCCAGACUCCUACGGGAGGCAGCAGUAGGGAAUCGUCCGCAAUGGGCGAAAGCUUGACGGAGCAACGCCGCGUGAGUGAUGAAGGUCUUCGGAUCGUAAAACGCUGUUAUUAGGGAAGAACAAAUGUGUAAGUAACUAUGCACGUCUUGACGGUACCGAAUCAGAAAGCCACGGCUAACUACGUG